UCGAACGGAAAGGCCCUUCGGGGUGCUCGAGUGGCGAACGGGUGAGUAACACGUGGGUGAUCUGCCCUGCACUUUGGGAUAAGCCUGGGAAACUGGGUCUAAUACCGAAUAGGACCACGGCAUUCAUGUGCUGUGGUGGAAAGCUUUUGCGGUGUGGGAUGGGCCCGCGGCCUAUCAGCUUGUUGGUGGGGUAAUGGCCUACCAAGGCGACGACGGGUAGCCGGCCUGAGAGGGUGACCGGCCACACUGGGACUGAGAUACGGCCCAGACUCCUACGGGAGGCAGCAGUGGGGAAUAUUGCACAAUGGGCGCAAGCCUGAUGCAGCGACGCCGCGUGAGGGAUGACGGCCUUCGGGUUGUAAACCUCUUUCAGUACCGACGAAGCGCGAGUGACGGUAGGUACAGAAGAAGGACCGGCCAACUACGUGCCAGCAGCCGCGGUAAUACGUAGGGUCCGAGCGUUGUCCGGAAUUACUGGGCGUAAAGAGCUCGUAGGUGGUUUGUCGCGUUGUUCGUGAAAACUCACAGCUUAACUGUGGGCGUGCGGGCGAUACGGGCAGACUGGAGUACUGCAGGGGAGACUGGAAUUCCUGGUGUAGCGGUGGAAUGCGCAGAUAUCAGGAGGAACACCGGUGGCGAAGGCGGGUCUCUGGGCAGUAACUGACGCUGAGGAGCGAAAGCGUGGGGAGCGAACAGGAUUAGAUACCCUGGUAGUCCACGCCGUAAACGGUGGGUACUAGGUGUGGGUUUCCUUCCUUGGGAUCCGUGCCGUAGCUAACGCAUUAAGUACCCCGCCUGGGGAGUACGGCCGCAAGGCUAAAACUCAAAGGAAUUGACGGGGGCCCGCACAAGCGGCGGAGCAUGUGGAUUAAUUCGAUGCAACGCGA
rnacentral:rRNA from 1 species